CCUACGGGGAGCUGCAGUGGGGAAUAUUGGACAAUGGGCGAAAGCCUGAUCCAGCCAUGCCGCGUGUGUGAAGAAGGCCUUCGGGUUGUAAAGCACUUUCAGUGGGGAAGAAAGCCUUGGGGCUAAUACCCUCGAGGAAGGACAUCACCCACAGAAGAAGCACCGGCUAACUCCGUGCCACCAGCCGCGGUAAUACGGAGGGUGCGAGCGUUAAUCGGAAUUACUGGGCGUAAAGCGCGCGUAGGCGGUCUGAUAAGCCGGUUGUGAAAGCCCCGGGCUCAACCUGGGAACGGCAUCCGGAACUGUCAGGCUAGAGUGCAGGAGAGGAAGGUAGAAUUCCCGGUGUAGCGGUGAAAUGCGUAGAGAGCGGGAGGAAUACCAGUGGCGAAGGCGGCCUUCUGGACUGACACUGACGCUGAGGUGCGAAAGCGUGGGUAGCAAACAGGAUUAGAUACCCCAGUAGUC
rnacentral:rRNA from 1 species